rnacentral:rRNA from 1 species
AGAGUUUGAUCCUGGCUCAGGAUGAACGCUGACAGAAUGCUUAACACAUGCAAGUCUUUGGCAAAUCUGUGCUUGCACAGCCUAGCCAAGGCGGACGGGUGAGUAACGCGUAAAGAACUUGCCCUGCAGACAGGGAUAACAGACGGAAACGACUGAUAAUACCUGAUACAAUUGCCAGCACGCAUGUGCCCGGCAAUGAAAAGUGAUGCUGCAGGAGAGCUUUGCGUCCUAUUAGCUUGUUGGUGAGGUAACGGCUCACCAAGGCGAUGAUAGGUAGCCGGCCUGAGAGGGUGAACGGCCACAAGGGGACUGAGAUACGGCCCUUACUCCUACGGGAGGCAGCAGUGGGGAAUAUUGGACAAUGGGGGCAACCCUGAUCCAGCAAUUCUGUGUGCACGAUGAAGGUUUUCGGAUUGUAAAGUGCUUUCAGCAGGGAAGAAGGAAGUGACGGUACCUGCAGAAGAAGCGACGGCUAAAUACGUGCCAGCAGCCGCGGUAAUACGUAUGUCGCAAGCGUUAUCCGGAAUUAUUGGGCAUAAAGGGCAUCUAGGCGGCCAGACAAGUCUGGGGUGAAAACUUGCGGCUCAACCGCAAGCCUGCCCUGGAAACUGUUUGGCUAGAGUGCUGGAGAGGUGGACGGAACUGCACGAGUAGAGGUGAAAUUCGUAGAUAUGUGCAGGAAUGCCGAUGAUGAAGAUAGUUCACUGGACGGUAACUGACGCUGAAGUGCGAAAGCUGGGGGAGCGAACAGGAUUAGAUACCCUGGUAGUCCCAGCCGUAAACGAUGAUUACUGGGUGUGGGCAUGAAGAGUGUCCGUGCCGAAGCUAAUGCGAUAAGUAAUCCGCCUGGGGAGUACGGCCGCAAGGCUGAAACUCAAAGGAAUUGACGGGGACCCGCACAAGCGGUGGAGCAUGU